UUCAAAAUUAUGUUUGGUCGAUAAUUCGAGAUGUUUCUCAUUAAAACGUGGUAACGAAGUGCGUUGGUUUUCAACGUCAGUAGACGUUUCGUGUGAUUUGUUCGUUGAUAUUAAUUAAAUAUUCUUCUAAUCUUGAAGAAAAAUGACAAAGAACGAGGAGAAAUUCGAUGGAAUGUUGCUGGCUAUGGCUCAGCAACACGAAGGCGGUGUGCAAGAGCUCCUAGACACAAUCUUCAGUUUUCUUGCGAGGAAAACGGAUUUCUACACGGGAGGAGGGGAAGGAGCUGCAGAGAAGCUUGUUAUGAGCAAAUUUAAGAAGCACGAAGCUACGGCUGUUACCAAAGCAGCUGGUGAAAAGGCAGAGCGUGCAGAGCAAGAGAGACGUCGCAAAGAAAGAAUAGAAAAGAGAAAGAAAGAAGAAAAGGCUAAGGAGGAAAAGUUCUACUCAGAGUCAAAGAUUGUCGAACUGACUGAUGAACAGGCUGUUAAGUUACAAGAAGAGAUAGACAAUAAGAAAUCGGCAAAAGAAUCACUUGCUGUUCCUGGUCCAAGUGGUGAUAAUGCGCAUAAUGGUCAUAAUGAGCAUAAUAGUGAUAAUGCGCAUAAUGGUAAAAAUGAGGAAAUAGAAGAUGAGGAAGAAGAUGAGAAGGAAAAGAACAAACUUCGGCCUAACAGUGGAAAUGGCGCAGACUUGCCCAAUUACAGAUGGACUCAGACACUUCAGGAUUUGGAGAUCAAAGUACCUCUGAAAGUGAACUUCUCGGCCAGGCCCAAGGACGUUGCCGUCACGAUGACGAAGAAGCGGCUGCAAGGGUCAGCCGCCGAUCAUCGACGGUGAUUUUCCACACGAGGUCAAAGUGGAAGAAUCCACUUGGGUGAUCGAGGAUGGAAAAUUGCUGUUGAUCAACCUGGAGAAGGUGAACAAAAUGCAAUGGUGGGCGCAUGUGGUGACCUGUGACCCAGAGAUCAGCACGAAGAAAGUGAAUCCUGAGCCUAGUAAACUCUCCGAUCUCGACGGUGAAACCAGAGGUCUGGUGGAGAAGAUGAUGUACGAUCAGAGACAGAAGGAACUGGGCCUGCCAACGUCCGACGAACAGAAGAAGCAAGAU